UUUGAAAUCUGGCCCUUGUGGUCCGAGUUGUAAUUUGUAGAGGAUGCUUUUGGUGAGGUACCUUCCGAGUUCCCUGGAACGGGACGCCAUAGAGGGUGAGAGCCCCGUCUGGUUGGAUACCGAGCCUCUGUAAAGCUCCUUCGACGAGUCGAGUAGUUUGGGAAUGCUGCUCUAAAUGGGAGGUAUAUGUCUUCUAAAGCUAAAUAUUGGCCAGAGACCGAUAGCGCACAAGUAGAGUGAUCGAAAGAUGAAAAGCACUUUGAAAAGAGGGUUAAAUAGUACGUGAAAUUGUUGAAAGGGAAGCGCUUGUGACCAGACUUGGGCUUGGUUAAUCAUCCAGGGUUCUCCCUGGUGCACUUGGCCAGCCCAGGCCAGCAUCAGUUUGUCGCGGGGGAUAAAGGCGUCGGGAAUGUGGCUCCCCCGGGAGUGUUAUAGCCCUUCGUGUAAUACCCUGCUUUAGACUGAGGUUCGCGCAUCUGCAAGGAUGCUGGCGUAAUGGUCAUCAGCGACCCGUCUUGAAACACGGACCAAGGAGUCGUCUUCGUAUGCGAGUGUUCGGGUGUCAAACCCCUACGCGUAAUGAAAGUGAACGCAGGUGAGAGCUUCGGCGCAUCAUCGACCGAUCCUGAUGUUCUCGGAUGGAUUUGAGUAAGAGCAUACGGGGCCGGACCCGAAAGAAGGUGAACUAUGCCUGUGUAGGGUGAAGCCAGAGGAAACUCUGGUGGAGGCUCGCAGCGGUUCUGACGUGCAAAUCGAUCGUC
rnacentral:rRNA from 1 species